CUUCACUCUCCACUCCGAGGCUCAGGGAGCAAGUGCCUGGCAUGGGGGGGAAAAGUUGGCUUUUUUUUUUUCCUCCUUGGUCUUUUGCUCCCUUCUCCCUCUCCCCAGAAGGGAAGACCCAUUUAAACUAUUUUAGACGCAAUCAACCAAGAAUCACCAUGUGGAAUUGAGCGGCAGUUUUAAAUGUGCUGAGCAGAGGAGAGGAAUGAUGAGAAAAACACAUUUUUUUUUUUUUUUUUUUUUUUUUGGAGACGCCGAAAGGAGCCUGUUUGUGUGCUGCGGCCGUGCUGUGACUCUGGAUCUUGUCUUUCAGCCGGCGCCUCGGUUCCUGCCCAGCUGGAUUUGGGGGGCAGCAUUUCCUGGCGCAGGGAGAUCAAAUGAGACUGCAAAGAAGCAUAAAUGAAUAGACAAUCCAACCAACCAAAGACCGGGGGCAGCAGCAGGCCAGCAAGACGGCAUCUUCUCCUUCCCAGCCUAGAAGCCCUGUGAAAUCGAGGAUCUUCCCCCUAAAACACAUACACACAAGAUAUGUGCAAUCAAGCUGCCACCGCUUGGUAAAAAGCUCAUGGUGCCUAACCAAAAAGGAUCAGGAGCAGAUCCUUGAAUCAGCUGUCACUUCUAUAGAAUGGGAUGUUUUUUUUUUCCUUCCUCCUUAACCUGCGCUGGAAAUUGCCGUUGGCUUUAUACAUCUCUAUAGAGAGAGGCUAAAGAGUCUUGCGUGAGAAAGAAGCAAUUUACAAUGCAAAUAGAGGCCUGUGAAGGGACGGAUGCUGCUGCUCACUCGUAACAGCUUGCUGCACCUUAAUAGCUGGUUUUAUUUUCUGAUAUUAAUAGAUGAAUUGUUGGCUAACGCUGCCGGAGAUUACUUGCUGAAAGGAAAAAAAAAGUUCGGAAUAAACUCUGAAGGCAACAGAUCUCGUUUGGAUAUUUUAGCCGCGCACACACACAAACAGAAACCAGGUCAUAUUUACAUAAAAGGAGGAAUCUUAAGCGCGGCAAGUAUCCUGGACGACUACUCCUCGGUACUGCCAGAAAGGAUCGGGACCUGGAGUCUGGCAAGAGGAAGACAGAGGCCUGUGUGGGAAGCGAGUUGUUAUCUUUGGUUAUCUAGCUGUAUGAGUGUAUUGGUCUUCAUAAAGCUAGAUAACCGAAAGUAAAAACUCCUUCAAGAUCGCCGGGGAGCGUGUGAGAGUGAAAGACUACAACCGAGAGACAGUAAAAACCAGAAAGGUCAGGAAUACUUAUUGAAUCUAACUUUGUUUUUGUUUUGUUUUUUCCCCUAUGAUUAAAGGUGGGAUGAGAG